CAGCCAAGUGCAUAUUAGUACCAGGCAGCCGCGAGCGUCACGCAUUCGCCGGCGAGCGCUCGCUGAGAGUAGAGAGGUGUUGCGAGGUGUGUGCCGCGCGUUUACUUACUCUCUCUCUCUUUCUCUCUCUCUCUCUUUCUCUCUCUCUGUCUGUCUUUCUCUUUCAUAUCGAGUGAUACGGCCCACGCGGUGUUGUGCAUCGCCCGUCCGAAAUUCACGAUCCUCGUGGAAAUUGGAAAUCCUUCUCGCUGAUCCGAGCCCUCGGAGCCGGAGCUUUUGUUUCAAUAAUCGCGCGCGAUUCUUCUCGACGAUUGUCGUCGUCGAACUUGUUCAGUGCGAGCUCCGAUAAGUUGUGGACACUGAGCCUCGAGAGACGUGAAGUAUCGAGAUCUUGAAAUAAUCGUGAAGUGGUGCUCGAGAGUUCAGCCUUCAGUGUGGUUCUCGGAUUUCUAAAUAUUUACAGCGGCUGUAGAUUGUCGAGUCGUAAUCGGUUUUUGAUUGCUGCUGAAUUCUAGCUGCUCCGACCGUAAUUGCGCAAGUGUAAUCGUUAAGAUACGCCAGCGUAGAGCCGGCCGUCGCGGGACGAGCGGCUCGUUCGGAAAUCAUCCUUGUUUUCGAAGGCGCGAAAAAGGAGAGGACCGGCUCCAUAACUCCAAAUCACGGGACGAGUCAUCAAGGUUCGGUGUUUCGGUGUAAAUAUCAGAGAGGAAGAAAGAUACGAGAAAGACUCGAAGAGGAAGAAAGACUUUCUUCACAUUCUUGUGCGAUAAAGAAAAGCUGGAGUUAAUCAGCGCAUAAAGCAGCGAGGCAUUGACUCUUGAAGACAGAGAAAGAAAGAGAAGAUUGACAGUCAGCGGAUCAGCUGAUUCUCGGCUUCCGCUUAUAAAAAUAAAUAUCGCAAGUGGUAUCACUUCGGAUAAGUGAUAAGUGAAAGGAAAUUGAGGUCUGACUGAUGUGUGACUAUUAUCGAAUAAUCGGAGAACGAUUAAACACAAAGAUAUUAUCCUAGGAUAAACGUUUUCCUAGGCUUGGAGUCUUGGUGUGUCGACGGUGGAAGGAGAAAAGGGAAACGAGAGGGAAACGAACGAAGCUGCAUCACUGGUGGGACUCGUCACCUUCAAACUAGCGGGGAUUCGCGAUAAGAUAGCGACGGUCGUUCGCCGUUAAUAAACAAUCGCGUUCGACGAGGGGAACAGGUUGCGAUUCCCGGACGGAGGACGCCUCGGGAAAGGAGCUCGCGGAGCUUGAUUCGGAGCUUCGAGGUGAUUCAUUCGCGCGAGAGUUGCGCAAGAGCGACGUGUUGUCGCGCGGCUGGGAAAAGGGGGCUGUGUUACUCAACUCACGCGCGAUUUUAUCCCGCCCGCUUUAAAGGAUCCCGCGCGAGGAAGAGUCGCGGCUCGCGACGUGCCAGGCGGACGCGGUUUACAUUCGUUCGUUCAGGACGAGAAAACGGGACGAGCGGCGGCUGCCUGUUCGUCGUCGCCACGAUUUCCUCCGAGUCGCCGGGAAUUAGUCGCGGGGAAGGCUCUAAUUAACGCUGCCAUUAAUAGCUCCGUAUCUCCGUAGUGGUAACGACUUCACAACCGAUGAUUAAUAGAUAAUCGCCGAUUAAAUAUCUGGUCGAGAGUGAGAAGGGGUGCUCUUGCUGUUUCUUU